CCGCGGACCAAUGGCCGGCGACGGGGCGUGGGGCCAAUGAGGACGCCCGGGCAGGACGGGUUGCCGUGAGGAAGCGCUGCGAGGUGGGACUGCUGCCCGGCCUACCCGGGGGCCAGGAGGACGUGGACCGUGUCUCGGGAGACACCAGGCAGGAUGCACUGCGGACACGCGCCCCGGCGCUUUUGUCGUGCCCAUACAUGUCGUGAGCAACGACCUGUUGCCUGCAGUCAGCUGUACCAAAGUCUAGGUCGCGGUGACAUGCCAGGCCCAUCCAGAGAAAGCCAGACAGAGCCCAGACUUUCCCAGUUGGAAACUGCAGAGUCCAAGGUGGUGAGUAAGAAGGAAGAUACCUCCACUCUUGGCACUGCAUUGCCCCAAGUCCUCAGUGCUGGCUUCCCUCACAAAUGGUAAACUCAGCAUGACCCAGGAGACAAGACCUAGGGCUUCCCCUGGUUUGGGUAGGUGACCAGGGAAAAUAAGUCUGCCUGGCCUUUCCCUAGCUGGCUUCCCUACGUCCAUUUCUCUGACUAGGAAUGAGGCUAGCAGCCAUUUCUGGGACAUUUGGAAGAUUGACCAAAGAGCUUUGGUCCGGUGUGAGAAAGGGCUGCUUCACCCCCCACCCCACCCACCCCACACACAAACACAGUUCUGAGAAGCAGCUAGAAGGCUGCUCUUAGGUAUUUCCCCACUUACCCAGCCCUGGCUUCCUUUCUCCAGGACCAGGAUCACCAGUUUUACAGUAGACAGCACCCCUAUACUUUCCUGUCCAGGUAUGGCAACACUCCCCAGGCUUCUUAGAACCAGGGAGUGUUCCACACAGCCAGAGUAGAAAUGUUGGUGAGGCCUACUCCCCCUCCCCCUCUGAUUACCUGACCCUGACCCUGACCCUGCUCCGACCCCUCACCUUCGGCCACUUCAGUCAUUGUAGUAGACACCCACGGCCAUCAGGCCGAGGCCCUAGCAUCCUUUUUUGCUUAAGUCCUGGCCCGCUUGUCAGAAUCCUGCAGCCAGCACCUGCCUCUCCUCAGACCCUCAGUAGGUGGCGCCCACAGGAGAGGUCUGGGUCUAUAGGAUGACAGGCCCAGCAUGGAAAGCCAAGAUGAGCUCAGACCUCCAGAAGCCUCUGCAGCCUGCACACACAGGCCAGCUGUGUGCCUACAACAGGGAAGACUACAUGGAGGUUCCAUUUGAGUCCCUUCCUGAGAGCCAUUCUGGAGUCUACUACAGCUAUGACCAUUUGGCUCUCUAAGCCUCAGUUCCCCUAACUAUAGAACAAGAAUGGCAACCUCUAGCUUUUGGAGGGGCUCAGUGACACAUUGAAGGAUGUAUGAAAAGCUCUAGGCAGUGGCAGGCUCCCACACAAGGCAGUGCCUGGAUAGCAGGAGAUGUGUGUACAGCACUCCUAUGAAGCACUGCAAAGCCCUGGCCACGCCUAUGGGGAAAUGGAGCCGAUAGGGGCAGGCUUACCCAGCCACAACCGGUCAGAAUCUGGGGUGGAGCUGAGGCUGCCAGGCUGGCCAGUCCCAAGCGCCAGGCCUGGUCUCCAAGCACUUGGAGGCCUUCCAGAAAGUUUGACAUGCAAGAAAACACUGUGUUCAGAAUACAAAAGGAAGACAGGAAAGUCAAAAUGCAUCAAGAUGUAAUUAACUGUCUAUAGAAACUAAUAUAGUGCCAAUAUUAUUUUUAAAUUUAAAAUAAAACAUUUUGUUGUAUCUGUGAA